GUUUUUUGACAAUAUUGCUAAUCU
rnacentral:sRNA from 1 species